CGAUAAAUUGAUCUUUUUUUUGUUAAAAACUGGCAUGGCUAACAAAAUAACUAGACAAUAACACAUGACAUGUCACGUGUACCUCAUGCUAACAUAUAGGAACCAAUUUUUAACAGUAAAAAUAGAUAGAAUUUUUAACA
rfam:Gossypium arboreum cultivar AKA8401 contig_53829_1, whole genome shotgun sequence.